rnacentral:rRNA from 1 species
GACGAACCGUGCGAACGUUAUUCGGAAUCAUUGGGCUUAAAGGGCGCGUAGACGGGUCGGCGCAUCGGACGCUGAAAGCCCCCGGCUUAACCGGGGAACGGGCGCCGAGAUGGCCGUCCUCGAGUGGAGGAGGGGGACCUGGAACUGCCGGUGGAGCGGUGAAAUGCGUUGAGAUCGGCAGGAACGCCGACGGCGAAAGCAGGGUCCUGGACUCCAACUGACGUUGAGGCGCGAAAGCCAGGGGAGCGAACGGG